rnacentral:rRNA from 1 species
UACGGGGGGGCAAGCGUUGUUCGGAAUUACUGGGCGUAAAGGGUGCGUAGGCGGCUUUCUAAGUUGGAUGUGAAAACUCUGGGCUCAACCCAGAGCCUGCAUCCAAAACUGGAGAGCUUGGGUUCUGGAGGGGAAAGCGGAAUUCCUGGUGUAGCGGUGAAAUGCGUAGAUAUCAGGAGGAACACCGGUGGCGAAGGCGGCUUUCUGGACAGAUACCGACGCUGGAGGCACGAAAAG